rnacentral:rRNA from 1 species
UGGGGGAUAUUGCACAAUGGAGGGAACUCUGAUGCAGCGACGCCGCGUGAGGGAAGACGGUCUUCGGAUUGUAAACCUCUGUCUUCGGGGACGAUAAUGACGGUACCCGAGGAGGAAGCCACGGCUAACUACGUGCCAGCAGCCGCGGUAAUACGUAGGUGGCAAGCGUUGUCCGGAAUUACUGGGUGUAAAGGGAGCGUAGGCGGGGUGCCAAGUUGAAUGUGAAAUCGGCCGGCUUAACUGGUCGCUGCGUUCAAAACUGGCGCUCUUGAGUGGAGCAGAGGCAGGCGGAAUUCCUAGUGUAGCGGUGAAAUGCGUAGAUAUUAGGAGGAACACCAGUGGCGAAGGCGGCCUGCUGGGCUUUAACUGACGCUGAGGCUCGAAAGCGUGGGUAGCAAACA